CGCUCCGGGGCCCUCUCCCCAGGGCCAGCAGCCUUCGGCGACCCCCGCCGCCCCCUCCGCAGUGCUGGUCCGGCCCACCCCUCUGCCUUCACGCCUCGCCCCCACCCCAGCCCUUGGGGUCUGGGGCAGUCGCCCCCCGGGAGGUAGUGGGGACCACUUCACUUCUGAGAGCGUCUUACCUCCCUCCCAAGAAGCCAGAAGGAGGAGAAGGCAGCAUCGGAGGCCAAAGGUGGAGCGGAGGCAGUGGGCUGGCUGGGCCAUGUUGGACAUGGAAGGCUGCCUGCGACCCACGGACUGGGGUCCACUCAUCUUAUACAUGUCUAAGUCUGACGUCAUGGGGGCUGGGGCCCCCUGGAGACUAAAUCUUGAACAAAUGGAGCUGCCCCACCCCACAGGGGUGCCCUGAUAACGGGAAACCGCAGCUGCUGUGCCAGAGCACCAGCCCAAACUCCCUCCAGAAGACCCAGGCACCUGCAAACCCCUUCCUGGGGCAGAAGCUCAAGUUGAUCCCUUAAAGUAGG